rnacentral:tRNA from 2 species
GGGGGCGUAGCUCAAUUGGGAGAGCACCAGCUUUGCAAGCUGGGGGUUGUCGGUUCGAUGCCGAUCGCCUCCACCA